rnacentral:rRNA from 1 species
GGAUGCGAUCAUACCAGCACUAACGCACCGGAUUCCAUCAGAACUCCGAAGUCAAGUGUGCUUGGGCGAGAGUAGUAUUAGGAUGGGUGACCCCCUGGGAAGUCCUCGUGUUGCAUCCC